UGGAGUAUGAGUGUGUCUUGGUGGUGCUCUGGUGGAUGUCGUAGUGUGGUCGAUUCUUCGUCUGGUGCCUCCAUUGCUUCACCCGGUACCUCGUUUUAUAGUCGCGGCAGAGGCUUCUGGAGAUGCUUCAUGCUUAAGGCUUCUGGUGCCUUCAAUUAUUCUUCUGGUGCCUUCAAUUAUUCUCCUCUUCUGUUGCCUGGACACUUGGACGGCUCUCCGCUCCUCAAUAAUUGUCCUGGGUACAGUAGAGUUGCUGUUUAUUCCUUUUGCCUUGUCCUUUAUCGCGUACUGUCUUCUUGUGAUAUUCCGGAUGCUAC
rnacentral:lncRNA from 1 species